ACAGCAGUCGCCGCGGUAAUACGGAGGGUGCAAGCGUUAAUCGGAAUUACUGGGCGUAAAGCGCACGCAGGCGGUUUGUUAAGUCAGAUGUGAAAUCCCCGGGCUCAACCUGGGAACUGCAUUUGAAACUGGCAAGCUAGAGUCUCGUAGAGGGGGGUAGAAUUCCAGGUGUAGCGGUGAAAUGCGUAGAGAUCUGGAGGAAUACCGGUGGCGAAGGCGGCCCCCUGGACAAAGACUGACGCUCAGGUGCGAAAGCGUGGGGAGCAAACAGGAUUAGAGACCCCUGUAGUCCCUGUCUCUUAUAC
rnacentral:rRNA from 1 species